rnacentral:rRNA from 1 species
GUUAUAGGGUCAAGCGAAUAAGUGCAUGUGGUGGAUGCCUUGGCGAUUACAGGCGAUGAAGGACGCGAUAGCCUGCGAAAAGUUGUGGGGAGCUGGCAAAUAAGCAUUGAUCCACAAAUGUCCGAAUGGGGAAACCCGGCCUUUUAGGUCAUCCUAGACUGAAUACAUAGGU